AACGAACGCUGGCGGCAGGCCUAACACAUGCAAGUCGAGCGCCCAGCAAUGGGAGCGGCAGACGGGUGAGUAACACGUGGGAACCUUCCCUAUAGUACGGAAUAGCCCAGGGAAACUUGGAGUAAUACCGCAUACGCCCGAGAGGGGAAAGAUUUAUCGCUAUAGGAUGGGCCCGCGUAGGAUUAGCUAGUUGGUGAGGUAAUGGCUCACCAAGGCGACGAUCCUUAGCUGGUCUGAGAGGACGACCAGCCACACUGGGACUGAGACACGGCCCAGACUCCUACGGGAGGCAGCAGUGGGGAAUAUUGGACAAUGGGCGCAAGCCUGAUCCAGCCAUGCCGCGUGAGUGAUAAAGGCCUUAGGGUUGUAAAGCUCUUUUGCCGGGGACGAUAAUGACGGUACCCGGAGAAUAAGUCCCGGCUGACUUCGUGCCAGCAGCCGCGGUAAU
rnacentral:rRNA from 1 species